GGGAGCAAACAGGAUUAGAUACCCUGGUAGUUCACGCCGUAAACGAUGUCGACUUGGAGGUUGUGCCCUUGAGGCGUGGCUUCCGGAGCUAACGCGUUAAGUCGACCGCCUGGGGAGUACGGCUGCAAGGUUAAAACUCAAAUGAAUUGACGGGGGCCCGCGCAAGCGGUGGAGCAUGUGGUUUAAUUUGAUGCAACGCGAAGAACCUUACCUGGUCUUGACAUCCACGGAAGUUUUCAGAGAUGAGAAUGUGCCUUCGGGAACCGUGAGACAGGUGCUGCAUGGCUGUCGUCAGCUCGUGUUGUGAAAUGUUGGGUUAAGUCCCGCAACGAGCGCAACCCUUAUCCUUUGUUGCCAGCGGUCCGGCCGGGAACUCAAAGGAGACUGCCAGUGAUAAACUGGAGGAAGGUGGGGAUGACGUCAAGUCAUCAUGGCCCUUACGACCAGGGCUACACACGUGCUACAAUGGCGCAUACAAAGAGAAGUGACCUCGCGAGAGCAAGCGGACCUCAUAAAGUGCGUCGUAGUCCGGAUUGGAGUCUGCAACUCGACUCCAUGAAGUCGGAAUCGCUAGUAAUUGUGGAUCAGAAUGCCACGGUGAAUACGUUCCCGGGCUUUGUACACACCGCCCGUCACACCAUGGGAGUGGGUCGCAAAAGAAGUAGAAAGGUUAACCUUCGGGAGGG
rnacentral:rRNA from 1 species